AGACCUAGAAAAAACUCCAUUUCAAAUGUAAAUGAACACAUUCCAGCAUCUGGUGUUGAAUCAGUGCAUUGUACAUCUUCCUUGGUCACUGCAACCAGACCUGAGACUUUGAACAUGAAUGAAUCAUGUUCAUGCAGUAACAAUCAGAUUCCAAGUGCUGUUGAUUUGGGGAAUAUUGCAUUGGCAUUGCCUGUUUCUGCCGAUGUAAACUUUGAGGAGGGAAUGAUUCAAAAAAGAUGCAGAGGAAGACCUAGAAAGAACUCCAUUUCAGAUGCAAAUGAACACAUUCCAACAUCUGGUGUUGAAUCAGGAAAUGGUACAUCUUCCUUGGCCACUUCAACCAGACCUGAGACUUUGAACAUGAAAGGAUCAUUUUUAUGCAGUCACAAUCAGAUUCUAAGUGCUCUUGAUUCGGGGAAUACUGCAUUGCCAUCUCCUGUUUCUGCUGAUGUAAAUUGUGAGG
rnacentral:lncRNA from 1 species